UUGUGACCGUUAUAAUGGGCAUUGCUGGUCUCCCUUGUUGUCAAUGCUCUUUUAACGAUCAUAAAG